rnacentral:rRNA from 1 species
AUGGCGUCGACGGCCGGGGUGGUCCUCUCCAUCAAGGACUCCUUCCUCGCCCUCCCCACCAAGACCGGCGACAGGGCUCUCGAAGAGGUUGAGAAAGACAUCUCCUCGUUGCGGCAAGUGCUCUCUGGUGAUGGAGAAGCAGGAGCAAAUCAAGAGCAAGUCCUGCAAAUAGCACUUGAAAUUUGCAAGGAGGGCGUGCUUUCCCUCUUUGUUCAGAAUCUACCUUCCUUGGGUUGGGGAGUAAGAAAAGAUUUGGUUAUUUGCUGGUGCAUUUUGCUUGGGCAGAAAGUUGAUGAGAAUUAUUGCUGUGUGAAGUAUAUUGCAGAUCACGUGGAGCUUUUAGAUUUCCUAGUUGUUUGUUACAAGAAGUCGGACCUUGCACUGAACUGUGGGAUUAUGGUGAGAGAAUGCAUAAAACAUCCAACCCUUGCAAAAUAUAUAUUGGAAUCCAAUAGCUUUGAGCUGUUUUUCGAGUAUGUUGAGCUGCCGAACUUCGACAUUGCCUCUGAUGCUCUAUACACCUUCAAGGAUUUGCUUACCAAACAUGAAAGUGUUGUGUCCGUGUACUUGAGCUCCCACUACGAGCAGUUCUUUGAACGCUACACAAGGAUCUUAACAUCAGCUAAUUAUGUAACAAGGCGUCAGUCGGUGAAGUUCCUUUCAGAAUUUCUAUUGGAGCCUUCAAACUCUAAAAUAAUGAAGCGAUACAUUCAGGAAGUUCGUUUCCUAAAUAUUAUGAUUGGUCUACUGAAGGAUUCAAGCAAAAAUAUCAAAAUAUGUGCCUUCCACGUUUUUAAGGUGUUCGUUGCCAAUCCAAACAAGCCUCCUGGUAUUAUUGAAGCUUUACGAGACAAUCGCAAAGAAUUGUUGAAACUACUCCACGAUCUUCCUGCAAGUAAAGGUGAAGAUGAACUUGACGAGGAGAGAGACCUGAUCAUUCAGCGAAUCGAGAAGUUGUAA